CCAGGACAAAUGGAAGAAGACCAUUGCUGAUGCACAUCUGAAAUCUUCUGAACACAUUUCCCAGUGACCCCGAACACUAUUAUGAAGUAUACCUUCAGUCACAAGGAAGUCCCAGUUGCUGGCAUGACCUGAGAGGUUCCUGGGACCACGCCAUGGAAAUGCGUCCGGUCCCAGUGUGACGGGGAAGAGCCGCGCCUGAAGCUCAACUUCCGAGGCUCUCAUCAAUCUACGCUUCCUUUGGAGCGUGCAGCCACCAGGUGGCAGCCGAGGCCACGGGCAGACAGAAAAGCUCCCGAAACUGAAGGACUGCCAGGCAGCAGAGUUCCGGAGGGCUCCCAGGACCUUCAACCAGAAAGAGACAGAGCAUAUGCGCAUAUGUAUGUCUGAGCCCGUGCACGGAGGAGGAGUAUGAACAGACACCGCGGGACAGAUGGCUGGACCCUGCAAGGAAUGUACUAUAGAGCCAAUUUUACCGGCAAAGGAAUGGAAGAUCUGAAAGGCUAGGCGAUCCCACAAGCAUCGAGGAGCAGGCUGGAAUUUGAACCAAUCGGCAUGAUUCCCAAGCUCAAGCUUUUGGCCACCCCUGCACUGCCAGGGACAAAAAAAAAAAAAAAAAAAAACCCUGGGAGGAGAGCCAAGCUAGGGAGUCAAGACCCUCCAGCCAGGUCUGGAUGGGAGGCAGGUGCCUCCACCCUGGUCCCAGAGCAAGUUCUGCUGGCUUCAGCCACCUGACUUCCCUGUGAAGGUGGGUAGAGGCCAGAGCAGACUGUGUGUGAUUCUGGCCCCAGCCCCAGCACCUCUACCCCCACCUUUACUACCCCUAGGCUGCGGGAAGAGGCUUUGCCCAGCAAUAGUCCUGAUCUAAUGGAUCCUUGAAGCACAAUAAACAGAUAGUAUUUCUGCAUGUGUCACUCUGAGUAUGACGGCAGUAAUCUUGAAACUCCCCUUGAC
rnacentral:lncRNA from 10 species